rnacentral:rRNA from 1 species
UACGAAGGGGACUAGCGUUGUUCGGAAUCACUGGGCGUAAAGCGCACGUAGGCGGAUGUGUCAGUCAGGGGUGAAAUCCCGGGGCUCAACCUCGGAACUGCCUUUGAUACAGCACGUCUCGAGUCCGGAAGAGGUGGGUGGAAUUCCUGGUGUAGCGGUGAAAUGUGCAGAUAUCGGGAAGAACACCCGUGGCGAAGGCGGCUCUCUGGGACGGUACUGACGCUGAGACGCGAAAGCGUGGGGAGCGAACAGG